UUACUGCUGAACUUUGCAGAACAUUUGGAGAUAUGGAAAAUAUAUGUCCAAAAUUAAACACAUGCACAAAAUAAAAGAGCAACACAUGGGCAUAAAUUAUUACAGUAUUUGGUUCUGAAAAAAAAGCUCAUUCUGCACUGUGAUACUUGUUUCUUCUCUGGUGCAUAUGAAAGAUAGCUUUCUAAGCUGAGAAUUCUGGUCUGUGGGUCUGUGGUUGGGCCAGACUGGUGCUCUGGAUACACCAUUUUCCUUCAGGAGUUGUUUCAUGGCUUUUGGAAGAACCAAACAGCAACAUGGUACACAAAGCCAGACAAUCCAGGGAAUGUAAAUCUAGAUGCCAUGCAGCAUUUGGAGAUGGACAGUCAUCCUGAAUUUACUGCCACAUACAAAGAGCAGAACUGAUAGUGAUGAGCUAUUUCACCUUUUUCCCUAAGUUCAGAGCACAAUCUAUUCUGUUGCCAGGUCCAUUUAGGUUACACAGAUAAAGAUUUUGCAAAACAUACUUGACCUUAACCCAGCUUUUUCAAAAUAUUUACUGAAUUUCAGUGGAAAGAGAUACAUUCUGUAGGGACAUAACCAGAAGCAGGACUAUAACACUGCCCUACUGCUAGCAGUGGUUAAAAUGCCAAGGUGUGUUUAAAAAUUCAGAUUAAAUUUGAGUUUUAUAGCACCACAGGAAUUAAUUAAAUGUAUGUCUUCUUUUAACAGAGCAUUCUGCUCCGUCUGCUGUCGAGGGAGAUAUUGGGAACUGGACUCCUGCUGGCUGCGGCACAGUGAAUGGCUCCUAUGGCCAGGACCUCCCUGGGUUUCAUCAGAUUAUGGCAUGGCCUCUUAUUAGCACUGUUUUCAUGGGGGAGGCCUGCUCCAAAUCUCAGGCAGAAGCUGUGUGAGUGAAAACCUUUCUGCCUUUCUCUGAAGAGGGAAAUCCUGCAGCAGGCCCAUAAAGAAAGAAGCAAUAUCUGCGAGCCCUCCCCUGCCUCCUGCCACGUCUCAUCUGCGAACAAGGGGAAAACCCAGUCUCAGCCCACCCAUUUAGCUCUUCUGCAACUCAGCUGAAUGCCAAGCGCCCUGUGGCAACUCCCUCAUUUCAGCCUUGAAGCAAACCCUGCUGAAAUCCCAGGGAUACCUGCUGGUAUCUAUCCCGUGGCUCCCCACAGCUGGGACUGAAACAGCCCCAUCCCCUAAAAAUACACUGCUUUCUAGCCUGAGAAUCGCCUGUUUGAGGGUUGUUUUUUUUUUCUAUCUCAUUUAUUUCCCGUCGCUGUGCCUGUGAUUACUCUCCCUCAAGCCCUCUCUCUCCCUUCUACCAGCAUGCCUUGCCUAAUUCCUCCCGCGACAUUAUCAGCUGGGAUGAUGAGCAGCUGAGCUCGGUAUUAGCGCUGACGCAGGCGGGCUGACAAAUGAAAGCGCCACGGUGAGCGCCGCCGGCUGCGCUUUCCCGGCAAGCGGGAGGUGGAAGCUGGCGGCUCUUUGAGCCCUUCCCCCGGUGGCUGCGGGAGCAGAGGACACGAGGGAAAGACCCAUAUGCUCCGCUGCCCUCGGCUUGCCAAGAGCCCCUGACUCCCUGGCUGAUGCGGGCUCUGCCCAGCGCCGUGCUACACGGCCAGCCGGCAGCUUUGCAAAGGGAUUCAGUGCUUUUCAUUAGGCUUUUUUGUCGGUUGCUUGUUUUUUCUUUAAGGUGCCUUCACCCUUAAGAUCACGAAACUUGUGUGGCGUGACUGCCCAAGGCCUGCUCUAGCAGGAAAUGGUGGGAGAGGAAGCACCAUUUGAAAAACAAGGCAUGCCCUUAGAUAGUCUCCCAUGCGGAGGGAUUGGAUCCUCGGAUUUUCACUGCCCACUGCUCCAAGGCUGGGUAGCUCCACAGCCUCCAACCACCAGCCCCUAGUCAAGUGGGAAGAAUUUGGGAUUUUUCUGAAGUCUCAGUCCUUGGCAUCAGCUGUAACUAUGGCAAAUUCCUCUUUGCUCAAAAAAAAAAGUUACUGUGAUUAACUUCCAGGAAGUCACAUCAGGAAAAUUGUACAUAACCAGCCAGUAUUUCUCCACUCCACUUUGUUACCAGCUCAGCCACCGUCCCUGCAUGUUCCUCUGCUAGUGAUGCUUCUGGUGAAGACUUCUCCUUAUUUGACCAACUACAAGAGAAUUACUAUGUUUAUGCUCUGCUUUGCUAAUAAAUCUGGAUUUACAUGUGAAAGAAGGCAAAGGAGUUUCAGUAAAAAUUUACUCUGAAACACAAAUGUCCAACAGAGACAUCAUACAAUAUAAGUAAAUAGAGCUUUAAACAGUCCUUUGUCCUAUAAAAUUCUCAAUCCCUAGAGAGCUGGUGGUCACUGGUCCCAAGGAGACAGACCCUUUCUGUAUCACAUCACUGGGACAGAAGAACCUCAGAUGGAGAGCCAUUAGUGUCUGCUGCCUGGUUAGCUAUGGGCUCAUAUUAUUUUCCAUUAGCCUGCUUAAAAGAAAUCCCACAAGGAUGAAAGCUAAAAGAAGUAUUACUCCAUACAUUCUGUAUUAGUCUGUUAAAGUGUGGCAGAAAUAAAAUGUGUCACCCAGUGCACUGUAUGGAAACCAGCAGGCUUUUGGCUGGAACCAGGUGGCUCUUGGGGUGUGAUCGAGUGGGUUUGUUUUACCACUAGAUGACACUCAUGUCUCUUGAAAAGGCUCCUGCCACCCCCACUGUGGCUGCAGGUCACAGAAGUUUUGAAAGAUUAACCUGGCUCCAGGUGAAACCUACCUGAGCCCCUCUCAGACACAGUCACUGCCUGAUUAAUUGCAAGGGGUUGCACAUUAGGAAGCCUCACCUUAUUAUU